GACGAACGCUGGCGGCGCGCCUAACACAUGCAAGUCGAACGAGAGAGAGGAAGCUUGCUUCCUCAAUCGAGUGGCGAACGGGUGAGUAACGCGUGAGGAACCUGCCUCAAAGAGGGGGACAACAGUUGGAAACGACUGCUAAUACCGCAUACGCCCACGGGUCGGCAUCGACCAGAGGGAAAAGGAGCAAUCCGCUUUGAGAUGGCCUCGCGUCCGAUUAGCUAGUUGGUGAGGUAAUGGCCCACCAAGGCAACGAUCGGUAGCCGGACUGAGAGGUUGAACGGCCACAUUGGGACUGAGACACGGCCCAGACUCCUACGGGAGGCAGCAGUGGGGAAUAUUGCACAAUGGGGGAAACCCUGAUGCAGCGACGCCGCGUGGAGGAAGAAGGUCUUCGGAUUGUAAACUCCUGUUGUUGAGGAAGAUAAUGACGGUACUCAACAAGGAAGUGACGGCUAACUACGUGCCAGCCGCCGCCGUAAUAC
rnacentral:rRNA from 1 species